GACGAACGCUGGCGGCGUGCUUAACACAUGCAAGUCGAACGGAACGUCCCUGCUUUGGUGGGGUGGUCGGGUGGCGAACGGGUAAGCAACACGUGAGUAACCUGCAAUUGACUGUGGGGUAACUUAAUGAAACUGGAGCUAAUAGCGGCAAGGAUUUAUCGCUGUUGGAUGGGGGCGGGUUGGAUUCGCUAGUUGGUAGGGUAAAAGCCUACCAUCGCGACGAUCCAUAGCUGGUCUGAGAGGAUGGUCAGCCACACUGGGACUGAGACACGGCCCAGACUCCUACGGGAGGCAGCAGUGGGGAAUAUUGGACAAUGGGCGAAAGCCUGAUCCAGCAAUGCCGCGUGAGUGAUGAAGGCCUUAGGGUUGUAAAGCUCUUUUACCCGGGAUGAUAAUGACAGUACCGGGAGAAUAAGCUCCGGCUAACUCCGUG
rnacentral:rRNA from 1 species